GAUGAACGCUAGCUACAGGCUUAACACAUGCAAGUCGCAGGACUGGCGCACGGGUGAGUAACGCGUAUCCAACCUUCCCAUAACCACGGGAUAACCCGUUGAAAGACGGCCUAAUACCGUAUGGUUAUGGAUGGGGAUGCGUCUGAUUAGCUUGUUGGCGGGGUAACGGCCAACCAAGGCGACGCUCAGUAGGGGUUCUGAGAGGAAGGGCCACAACAUGGGAACGGCGACACAGUCCAAACGACUGCGGGAGGCAAGGGGGAGGGAGGUUGGUGACUGGGGGGGAGCCUGGACCAGCCAAGUAGCGUGAAGGAUGAUGGCGUAUGGGUUGUAAACUGCUUGUAUGUGGGUAUUGGUACCAAAUGAAUAAGGAACGGCUAAUUCCGUGCCAGCCGCCGCGGUAAUAC
rnacentral:rRNA from 1 species